GGUGGGCCCAAACACUUAGGGGGUUCUGCCACACCUAAUCGUAGCGAGACAUGGCCAUUACACUUUAAGUUGUAGAGACACGUAGUGAGACUUUAUCGAUGACGUGCAACACAAUUUGGGGCCAGUUCAUUGAAACUAGAUUUGUAGUCUAAAAUUUUGGUACGCUUUGAAUUUGAAUUGGUAGUAAUUGAAUAACAAAAAAAUAAAAAACAAAAAUAAUAAUAGUUUGGUCCUAAGCGUAAGGAGCACAAACUGGGCUUCAGUCGGUCUUCUUUUUUGUUAGGGGACGCCGUCGUCAACCAAAGGCACCGCGCCUGUAUUCAUUAGGGCACGCUUCAUCCAGGGCUUGGCCACGAGGGGAGGACGCCAUCCAGGGCUUCGACGACGCCGGGAGUUCGCGGACCAGUCGGGACGCCGGGACACCGCCAUCCUGGGCUUGGCCACGACGCUAGGACGCCAUCCAGGGCUUGGACCGCGCCGAUAGAUCAUACGUAAGGCUCUCAUCUUCUGCUGCUACGG
rnacentral:lncRNA from 1 species